CUCUCUCUCUUCUCGCACUCAAAUGAGUUGCAUCGACGCAACUCCGCUUUGCCACCAUGGGGCUAGAUCUGGUAGAGGGGAGGCCGUGCUGGGCAGAUCUGGUGGCCACAACCUCCCUGUUGGCGGAUCCGGACGCCUAGAGGCGAGGGUGACAACUAACGCAUGAGGCUCGUGGGCGGUGCUGGUGGCAGGAGGCACCUCGGUGGUGGCUGCCUCGACCUGACGAGCAAGGCAUCGGCAUAGAUUUUCUUGCUAUCAAUGCUACUUUAGCUUGAAGCCCAACUAGCGACCAAUGAAGCAAACUACUAAUCUAGAAAUUUUGUUUUUUCAGAGAAGUUAGAAGGACGACAAAUGAGGUGUUGACAGUGGGGGGAGAUGUUGAGGUGCUUGGCCAUCAAUAGGUUUGUUGCCUCUGGUCUCAGGCUUUCGAAUGGAUUGUAACAUACGAGGUCACUAGAUUACCCUAAUAUGUUUGAUGCCUGAGGAGCUCUGUUAGGUCUCUUGAUUUUUUUCCUCUGCCCCCCAGUCUUUCCUUGCUCUUUUGCUCUGCAAAUAUGUUUGUGUUCUAUUAAAAGAUAUAUCUUUCGGUGUUUCAGUGUUGGUGGAUACAAUCAUCCAAUGAUAUAUGGAUAUGCUGCUGACUUGUAGUGCUAUGUAUGAUCUCGCAUUAUUUGAGUUGACAUGGAUAGUAGAUGUGGGGUAAUCAUCUAAUGUGUUAGGCGAUUGCAUGGUUGUAAAGGGCUAUAUUUUUUUUUGGUUUGUUUUUAACAACCAAAUCUCUUAUAGAAUAUUUAGGAAUAAACACCAUUUUUCAUCUUUGUGUUGAGCAGCAUACCAUAUAAGUAUAUUCCAGACUACCUCUUUGAGUAUGUUAC